UGCCCAACAACUCCUAUCCCUACCUCCUCGCGGUACCGGCCGAAAACUAUGAGCAACCUUACUUAGGGAAGA
rnacentral:ribozyme from 1 species